CCCCUUGGUUUGUCAUGGCUGCUCCUGGGCAGUGAUGGCACAGGCAGCUUCCCUAAAAGAAAGGUCAGCCACGAGGUCACUCCCUGUGGACCAGAGCUCAGUGCUGCCCAUCUCACCCUUCAUGGAGAACACUGGACAAGAGGAGUUGAGGCCACCACCCUGUCUGCUGUGAGCUUCCCAGCUUGUCCACCUGGGAAUUGUAAAAUUCCACGUACAGUAAGAGCAGACUGUGGCCCUGAACCUCUACAAUUCCAAAUACAAGCAAAGAUAAUGACUUUUUAAAAGUAAAGAACAAAUUGUUCCACAAAAAAUGAGCACAAUCACAAAAAG